rnacentral:rRNA from 1 species
GCGCCGAAGAUUUCCGGGGCUAAAACUUACUACCGAAGCUACGGCAUCAGUAAUGAUGGGUAGGGGAGCUUCCCAUACGGGUUGAAGCAGGACCGUAAGGACAUGUGGACAGUAUGGGAGUGAGAAUGUUGGCAUGGGUAGCGAGAUGUGGGUGAGAAUCCCACAGGCCGUAAACCCAAGGUUUCCAGGGGAAGGUUCGUCCGCCCUGGGUUAGUCGGGACCUAAGCUGAGGCCGAAAGGCGUAGGUGAUGGACAACAGGUUGA